GGUCGGUUAGCUCAGUUGGUUAGAGCGUCGUACUAAUAAUGCGAAGGCCAUGAGUUCGACCCUCAUACUGACCA